AAACAAGUUGCAUCUCUGCUAAUCACUCCACUGGGAUGUCCCAUGAACCCACCCAACCCAGUACAUCCAGCACAUCCUACAGCACAUACCUUGAUCUUUUUGAGGAAGAGUACAUCUCUGAUGACCCUGAUCUCCAGGAAGCCAUCUCAAGGUCCUUAGAGUCUAGCACAAGUGAGAGUGAUUUAAAGAUAACUUUUGAAAGAAUAAUGGAG